rnacentral:rRNA from 1 species
GACAGAGGUGCCGAGCGUUAGGCGGAAUCACUGGGCUUAAAGCGUGUGUAGGCGGAUCGUUAAGUGUCUUGUGAAAUCCCACCGCUCAACGGUGGAACCGCUGGGCAUACUGGCGAUCUUGAGCAGUCCAGGGGCGAGCGGAACAAGCGGUGGAGCGGUGAAAUGCGUAGAUAUCGGGAAGAACACCCGUGGCGAAGGCGGCUCUCUGGGACGGUACUGACGCUGAGACGCGAAAGCGUGGGGAGCGAACAGG